UAAUAGCUCACUGGUCGAGUCGGCCUGCGCGGAAGAUGUAACGGGGCUAAACCAUGCACCGAAGCUGCGGCAGCGACACUGUGUGUUGUUGGGUAGGGGAGCGUUCUGUAAGCCUGUGAAGGUGUGCUGUGAGGCAUGCUGGAGGUAUCAGAAGUGCGAAUGCUGACAUAAGUAACGAUAAAGCGGGUGAAAAGCCCGCUCGCCGGAAGACC
rnacentral:rRNA from 1 species